UAAGUGAAGCUAUUCAAGUAGUGAAAUCGUACAGAUCCAAAAAGAAAACAAAAUAGAUUAGUCAAAGCAAAAAUCUAUAUGCAAUAUAGUCCAUCCUUUCAUUGAGUAAUUCAACAAUUCUCCAGAACAAAACAUCAAACCUACUUAUCGUGAAAGUAAAUUUUCCAAGGAUGUUGACAUAAUUUUCGUUGGGAUAAAUGUGUGAUAAUGAAAGUAUUGGCAGCAGCAAGAACACUUUCACGUUGAGGUAAUUGCUCAACACUUUCACGUGCUACAUGGGAAAAAUAUAUUCAAAUAACGACAGGAAGGUUUUUCCACGUCGGUAACAUGAUUCUAACGUUAGUUUCCUCUCCUCUGGAUGAUAGUAAAUUGGAGUUUUUUUUGAAAAGUGACGUAAGGUGGAAGAAGAUCAUUUCUUCGAACACAAGAUUGGUGAAACCCAAUACCUACGUUAUGGUUAACUUGAGAAGCGACAAGCCCCAGAUUGUUUGGCAGGUUAAGUAUAUAGCUAGGAUGCUCCGACGUCUGCUGGGAUUGGCAAGUUCCACCUCAUUCUGGAGUUGUGCUGAGUCAUGUAUAGAUAUGUAUGAUUAUGGGUAUGUCAGGGCCCUGUCCUGACUCAUAAUGUCCAGUUCACUUCUUAGAGACUUCUGCAGACAGUGUGUUGUGGUAUGUUUGUCGAGAUGUCGACAAAGUGAUAUCAUGUGAAAUAUUCAGAUCCGCGGGAAUAUUAUUGCGGUUUACGUCGAGAAUGGUCACAUCGGCUUGCCGAAUCAGAACGUCUUGUUCGUGACUUGGAAAAUCUCAACGCUCCAAUCCCAACAAGGUACUCCUUAACCAUGCCUCAAGUAGGUCCAGAAAGUUGCGAGCUUUUCGUGCAAAGGAUUAGAAAGGAAAACAACAGAAUGCUGGCAAGACGUUGUAGAUUUUACAUGCUAAAGUUGGCCGAAGAACAAGCAUCAUCAACUGGUAGAGAACUAACUGCUACUGAAAAAAGAUGUGUCUUAAGAAACCGCCAAUGUUUUUCUGAAGACGAUAUUGUGCACUUGUACUCUGAUGAUGAUUACGAAUGUUGUGAUUUUAGUUUUAAGUAUGAUUGUAUGAUUAUGCUGUUAUUUUGAAGAAUAUUAGUAUGUUAUGUAUUUCAUCUAUU